rnacentral:rRNA from 1 species
GUGGGGAAUAUUGGACAAUGGGGGGAACCCUGAUCCAGCCAUGCCGCGUGUGUGAAGAAGGCCUUUUGGUUGUAAAGCACUUUAAGUGGGGAGGAGGCUUACCUGGUUAAUACCUGGGCUAAGUGGACGUUACCCACAGAAUAAGCACCGGCUAACUCUGUGCCAGCAGCCGCGGUAAUACAGAGGGUGCAAGCGUUAAUCGGAUUUACUGGGCGUAAAGCGCGCGUAGGUGGUUAAUUAAGUCAAAUGUGAAAUCCCCGAGCUUAACUUGGGAAUUGCAUUCGAUACUGGUUGGCUAGAGUAUGGGAGAGGAUGGUAGAAUUCCAGGUGUAGCGGUGAAAUGCGUAGAGAUCUGGAGGAAUACCGAUGGCGAAGGCAGCCAUCUGGCCUAAUACUGACACUGAGGUGCGAAAGCAUGGGGAGCAAACAGGAUUAGAAACCCGUGUAGUCC